GAUCCAGCCAUGCCGCGUGUGUGAAGGAGGUCUUCGGAUUGUAAAGCACUUUAAGUUGGGAGGAAGGGCAGUUGCCUAAUACGUUACUGUUUUGACGUUACCGACAGAAUAAGCACCGGCUAACUCUGUGCCAGCAGCCGCGGUAAUACAGAGGGUGAAAAGAAGAUUAAUCGGAAUUACUGGGCGUAAAGCGCGCGUAGGUGGUUUGUUAAGUUGGAUGUGAAAUCCCCGGGCUCAACCUGGGAACUGCAUUCUAAAACUGACUGACUAGAGUAUGGUAGAGGGUGGUGGAAUUUCCUGUGUAGCGGUGAAAUGCGUAGAUAUAGGAAGGAACACCAGUGGCGAAGGCGACCACCUGGACUAAUACUGACACUGAGGUGCGAAAGCGUGGGGAGCAAACAGGAUUAGAUACCCUGAAAUAGUCCACGCCGUAAACGAUGUCAACUAGCCGUUGGAAUGCCUUGAGCUCCUUUAGUGGCGCAGCUAACGCAUUCAAGUUGA
rnacentral:rRNA from 1 species